UAUUCCGAGUUUCUUGGAUAUGAAGUGAGGUCACUCUUGCGAAAGACAAGUCUUAAUACGCAAUGUAUAUUUCCAAAUUAUGUAUGUUUAGAGGCAAAAAAAGAAAUUUGGCUUGUAUCCUACGUAGUACAUUAUGUUUAAAUAAGUCAUGAUGGUGUUGACACAGGGCUGCUUAGGAGGGCUGGGAUGGAGGGAAGGCGACAACGAGGCGACCAGCGGCGUCACGUCACUGGAUGUUGUUUCUUGGCAGCUUGUAGUGGCGCGCUCGCUGCUUUGUGAUUAUACACAGUUUAAGUGAGAUUCAUACAUCUGAAUUAGAACCGUAAACAGAAAACUGAACAGUGUUAAUAUGAAAUUAUAUUCAAUUAUUUUAUUGUGGUAUUCAAAGGUUGCUUUUCAGCGAUAUUCGACAGGCCGAGUGAACUAGACAAGCAAAGACCGAGAAGGAUGUGGGGCCCCACUGGGAGGGUUGGUGGACAUGGGUAAAUAGUUACGUUGCCAAUAGAUGGCGGGCUAAUCGCAAACAGCUGAUGGGCGGAGGUCAGGGGGCUUGUCUUGCCUGGACAGAUGGCAAAGCAAAACAGACAGCGGUGCGAUGAAGAUGUGUCUUUCUAUGAUUUGUGUUCUUGAGUGCACGUGGAGACGGCAGACCUUCAGCUUGUAGGCGUAAUCGCUUUGGUCGCGCAGCAGGGAAGUGAGGUACGGUGACCAGCACUACCAACAUGAGGUGAAUGUGGUGAUUGGGAGUGUCGUGGUGAUUACGCCUGAGAGAUUGGUUUGCCACCAUUGGUCGAUCAGAGACCAAGGAAAACAAUUGAGGGAAAGACAAAGUGUGGCAAGGCGAGGCGGGGUAGAGUUGGAGGCCCAAGUGGAGGCGGCUCAGGGAGAGGAAUGGAAGACAGACAUAAAUGCGAAUAGGAAGGAAGAGAAAGAUAUUAUACAACCAGCACGUUUUGAGAACCGCUGACUUAGUGACUGAGGACAGCUGGAAGGUUUUCAUUGUACCGAGUCGGUGAUAAACAUCUUUCUCGGAUUUUAGAACAUGCUGCUGCACUAAGCUAUGCAAGUGUACUCAGGAACUUCUCACUUAGUGGGAGUUGUCAUACCGAUGGGGCUAUUUUGGGACCAUGACCACCGUGCCGCUCACUGCCCAGCCUAGACAGUGUUUGUGGGCUGCGCGGUGGUCACAGUAAACACGCCACCAUGAUUUAAACCUUUCAAGGGUACACACACACACACCUCUCUCUCUCUCUCUCUCUCUCUCUCUCUCUCUCUCUCUCUCUCUCUCUCUCUCGAGUUCAACCACAAUAUUAUCCUUGCACUACAAACAGAAGUUAUUGAUAUUUCUCGUUACUUUUUAUUGCUGUAAGUUUUCGCAAAUAAACAUGGUUUUGA